GUUAGGAAUAUUGGGCAAUGGAGGAAACUCUGACCCAGCAACGCCGCGUGAAGGAAGAAGGUUUUCGGAUUGUAAACUUCUGAUCUAGGGGAAAAAGAAAGUGAUGGUACCCUAGGAGAAAGCCACGGCUAACUACGUGCCAGCAGCCGCGGUAAUACGUAGGUGGCAAGCGUUGUCCGGAAUGACUGGGCGUAAAGGGAGCGUAGGUUGUUGUUUAAGUUAAAUGUGAAAGCCCGUGGCUCAACUACGGAACUGCAUUUAAUACUGGACAACUAGAGUGCAGGAGGGGUAAGCGGAAUUCCUAGUGUAGCGGUGGAAUGCGUAGAUAUUAGGAAGAACACCAGAGGCGAAGGCGGCUUACUGGACUGUAACUGACACUGAGGCUCGAAAGCGUGGGGAGCAAACAGGA
rnacentral:rRNA from 1 species